UACGUAGGUGGCAAGCGCUGUCCGGAUUUACUGGGCGUAAAGAGCGCGCAGGCGGCCGAGUAAGUCGAAUGUGAAAGCCCCCGGCUCAACUGGGGAAGGUCAUUCGAUACUGUUCGGCUCGAAGAUAGGAGAGGGAAGCGGAAUUUCAGGUGUAGUGGUGAAAUGCGUAGAUAUCUGAAGGAACACCAGUGGCGAAGGCGGCUUUCUGGCCUAUUCUUGACGCUGAGGCGCGAAAGCUAGGGGAGCGAACGGG
rnacentral:rRNA from 1 species